CAAGAUCUUUUUCGCACACACUGCUGUCAAGCCAGGCGUCCCCCAUUCUGUAUCUUUGAUUUCCAUUUUUUCUGCCGAAGUGAAGUAUCUUGCAUUUGUCCCUGUUGAACUUCAUUUUGUUAGUUUCGGCCAAUCAUCUCUCUAGUCUGUCAAGAUCGUUUUGAAUUCUGCUCCUGUCUUCUGGAGUGUUAGCUAUCCCUCCCAGUUUGGUGUCAUCUGCCAACUUGAUGAUCGUGCCUUCUAACCCUUCGUCUAAGUCGUUAAUAAAGAUGUUGAACAGAACCGGGCCCAGGACGGAGCCCUGCGGCACUCCACUUGUCAUUUCUUUCCAUGAUGAAGACGACGCAUUGGUGAGCACCCUUUGGGUUCGUUCGCUUAGCCAAUUACAGAUCCACCUAACCGUAGUUUUGUCUAGCCCACAUUUUACUAGUUUGUUUGCCAGAAGGCUGAGAGAUACCAUAUGUGCGAAUUUCACAAGUGACCACUCGGAGAAACAUGGUUACAGGUAAACAACCUUCUCUUUCUAUCCCAAGUGCAAUUGUCCUGGAGAAGAGGCAGGGUCAGCUCCACCAUGCCUGAUUCCAGAGGCAGAUGAAUAAUUGAAUCACAGAGUUGGAAGAGACUGCAUAGAUCAUCUAGUUCAACCCCCUCCCAUGCAGGAAAAAACACAAUCAAAGCACGCCUAACAGAUGGCCAUUCAGACUCUAUUUAAAAACCUCCAAAGAAGAACACACCACACUCCCAGGCAGCACCAUAUUCUACUGCCAAACAGCUCUUUUCCAUCAGGAAGUUCUUCCUAAUCCUUAGGUGGAUUUCUUUUCUUGCUGUUUGAAUCAGUUGCUCUGUGUCCUAAUCUCUGGAGUAGGAGAAAACCACCGUGCUCCAUCUUCAAUAUGACAUAGAAUCAUAGAAUUGGAAGAGACCCCAUGGGCCAUCCAAUCCAACCCUCGCCAAGUUGCAGGAAAAUCGUAUUCAAAACACUCCCGACAGAUGGCCAUCUAGCCUCUAUGUAAAAGCCUCCAAAGAAGGAGAUUCCACCACACUCCGAGGCAGAGAGUUCCACUGCUGAACAGCUCUCUCUCACAGCGAGAAAGUUCUUCCUCAUGUUCAGGUGGAGUCUCCUUUUUUGUCAUUUGAAGCCGUUGUUCCGCACCCUAGUCUCCAGGGCAGCAGAAAACAAGCCUGCUCCCUCACUUCUUGAUCCAUGGCCCUCAUAAUGUCUCCUCUCAGCCUUCUCUUCUGCAGGCUAAACAUGCCCAGCUCUUUAAGCCGCUCCUCAUAGGGCUUCUUCUCCAGACCCUUGAUAAUUUAAUCAUCCUCCUCUGGACACAUUCCAGUUUGUCAACAUCUCCCUAAAGUUGCGAUGCCCAGAAUUGGACACAGUGUGAUUCCAGGUGUGGUCUGACCAAGGCAGAAGAGAGGGGCAGUUCCCUGGCUCUAGACACUAGACUCCUAUUGAUGCAAUCCAAAAUCCCAUUGGCUUUUUAAGCCACUGCAUCACAUUGUUGGUUUAUGUUUAACUUGUUCUCCACAAGGACUCCAAGAUCUUUUUCACACAUACUGCUGUCAAGCCAGGCAUCCCUCAUCCUUUCAAAUAUGUAGGCAUGACUAUCAUGUUUUUUUCUUAGCUUUCUCAACCAUUUGCCAUGUUGGCUCAGGCUGAUAGAAACUUCAGUCCAGCAGCAUGAUCCUCAAAGUGUCUACAUA
ensembl:lncRNA